GUACAGCAACACAUUCAGCUCCCAGGAUAAAAGCAGGUGUUUUGCUUUAAUUAAGACCAACAAAGACUAUUCUGUUCUCAAUAGGCUUAUAUUUUUAGACACUAAGAACUUACAGUCCAGAGGGAGCACAGACAACAAACAGAAAGUUAGGCUGAUCCCAGGAGAAGGAGGUUUGCUGAAUGCCAGAGAUGAACUCCCAGCCACCCGUACGGAAUGGAGAUUCAGAACAGAAGUGGAAUAAUGGAAAAAUAGCUCUGAUCUUUUGAAAUCUGAGUUUGUGGAGUUAGGCUCUUACUUGCUUCACAUGGAGGCAUCUUAGGUUUGGUAAAAAUUCACCUGCAGCAAACAUUCACACUGCAGGUUAAUUACAAACCCCAGAAUUAAAGCCAAGUUGCUCAGAGGCAACGUGUAUAAACUGUGGGAGAAUUGUCAAGCAGAGAGGAGGUCAACUCUCAGAAAUCACUGUGGAUUUUGGAAAUAACUAUGGUUUGUCAUGAGGUAGAGCUUGAAAAAGCACAAGAGAACCUUCUGGGGUUUUAAGCUCUCUGGGCAGAUAAAAAGGGGUCUUCAGAAGAAA